rnacentral:rRNA from 1 species
GACGAACGCUGGCGGCGUGCUUAACACAUGCAAGUCGAACGGAAAGGCCUUUUCGGAGGUACUCGAGUGGCGAACGGGUGAGUAACACGUGGGUGAUCUGCCCUGCACUCUGGGAUAAGCCUGGGAAACUGGGUCUAAUACCGGAUAGGACCGCACUUUAGUGUGUGGUGGAAAGUUUUUUCGGUGUAGGAUGAGCCCGCGGCCUAUCAGCUUGUUGGUGGGGUAAUGGCCUACCAAGGCGGCGACGGGUAGCCGGACUGAGAGGUUGGUCGGCCACAUUGGGACUGAGAUACGGCCCAGACUCCUACGGGAGGCAGCAGUGGGGAAUAUUGCACAAUGGGCGCAAGCCUGAUGCAGCGACGCCGCGUGGGGGAUGACGGCCUUCGGGUUGUAAACUCCUUUCGCCAGGGACGAAGCGUUUUGUGACGGUACCUGGAGAAGAAGCACCGGCUAACUACGUG